rnacentral:rRNA from 1 species
GGGGGACCUUCGGGCCUCUUGCCAUCGGAUGUGCCCAGAUGGGAUUAGCUAGUAGGUGGGGUAACGGCUCACCUAGGCGACGAUCCCUAGCUGGUCUGAGAGGAUGACCAGCCACACUGGAACUGAGACACGGUCCAGACUCCUACGGGAGGCAGCAGUGGGGAAUAUUGCACAAUGGGCGCAAGCCUGAUGCAGCCAUGCCGCGUGUAUGAAGAAGGCCUUCGGGUUGUAAAGUACUUUCAGCGGGGAGGAAGGGAGUAAAGUUAAUACCUUUGCUCAUUGACGUUACCCGCAGAAGAAGCACCGGCUAACUCCGUGCCAGCAGCCGCGGUAAUACGGAGGGUGCAAGCUGUUAAUCGGAAGUACUGGGCGUAAAGCGCACGCAGCAGAUUCC